CGGGAGAGGGGGAUUCUAGCAGCGCUGAAUCACUUUCCCACAGCCUCUGCGUGGGGAGCGCUUCCUCUGAUGCACGCCCUAUUUGUACUUCCUGAGUGCGCGUGGACUGCGGGCCCUGCUCGCCGCAGACUUGCCCGAAAUAGCAGCGCGCGGGCUCGGCUCCCCGCGCCGCCCGCAGCAUCUGCCUCCCCCUCCCGCCUCGUGGGCAACCGGGCGCGGCUGAGUCACGGUGACACUGAGUCACUCGCCAGCGUCAGGAAAUGCCUUUUUUAGACUUCCAGUUUGAAAUGGAGCAGCAGGUGACUUUUUAAAUUCGGUUUUGUGUUUUAUCUUCAAUUUCCCUGGGGGCAGUUCUUGCUGGUUUCACAUUUCCCCACGACUUGCUGCUUGGGGCAAGUUCCGCACCAAAUGUACCUAGGCGGAGCUCCGCCUUAAGGGAUAUUCAUUUUUCCGAUGCAAAUGGAGAAAUUCUGCAGACUGGUUUUGAAGCAGUCUUCGCUAGACACGCCAUGCAACAGUGUGUAUUUGUACGUGGGUGGACGGCUUGCUAUCUGUGACGCGUUCCCAGGACAGACUGCAGGUGGCACCAGGGUCCCCUGAUUGUGAAGUUCCACCUCUGCAGAAUGGCUUA
rnacentral:lncRNA from 1 species